rnacentral:rRNA from 1 species
UACAGAGGUCCCAAGCGUUGUCCGGAUUUAUUGGGCGUAAAGAGCUCGUAGGCGGCUUGUCGCGUCGUCUGUGAAAACCCGCGGCUCAACGGCGGGCUUGCAGUCGAUACGGGCAGGCUGGAGUUCGGUAGGGGAGACUGGAAUUCCUGGUGUAGCGGUGAAAUGCGCAGAUAUCAGGAGGAACACCUGCGGCGAAGGCGGGUUGCUGGGCUGACACUGACGCUGAUGCGCGAAAGCCAGGGGAGCGAACGGG